rnacentral:rRNA from 2 species
GCUGGCGACCAUAGCAAGAGUGAACCACCUGAUCCCUUCCCGAACUCAGAAGUGAAACCUCUUAGCGCUGAU